rnacentral:rRNA from 1 species
AACAUGCAGUCGAACGGUAAGGCCCUUUCGGGGGUACACGAGUGGCGAACGGGUGAGUAACACGUGAGUAACCUGCCCUUGACUCUGGGAUAACAGCCGGAAACGGUUGCUAAUACCGGAUAUUCAGUUUCUCCCGCAUGGGGGUUGUUGGAAAGCUUUUGCGGUUGAGGAUGGGCUCGCGGUCUAUCAGCUUGUUGGUGGGGUAGUGGCUCACCAAGGCUUCGACGGGUAGCCGGCCUGAGAGGGUGACCGGCCACAUUGGGACUGAGAUACGGCCCAAACUCCUACGGGAGGCAGCAGUGGGGAAUAUUGCACAAUGGACGGAAGUCUGAUGCAGCAACGCCGCGUGCGGGAUGACGGCCUUCGGGUUGUAAACCGCUUUCAUCCAUGACGAAGCGAGAGUGACGGUAGUGGGAGAAGAAGCACCGGCUAACUACGUGCCAGCAGCCCGCGGUAAA